AACGAACGCUGGCGGCAGGCUUAACACAUGCAAGUCGAGCGCCCCGCAAGGGGAGCGGCAGACGGGUGAGUAACGCGUGGGAACGUACCCUUUGCUACGGAAUAGCUCCGGGAAACUGGAAUUAAUACCGUAUGUGCCCUACGGGGGAAAGAUUUAUCGGCAAAGGAUCGGCCCGCGUUGGAUUAGCUAGUUGGUGGGGUAAUGGCCUACCAAGGCGACGAUCCAUAGCUGGUCUGAGAGGAUGAUCAGCCACAUUGGGACUGAGACACGGCCCAAACUCCUACGGGAGGCAGCAGUGGGGAAUAUUGGACAAUGGGCGCAAGCCUGAUCCAGCCAUGCCGCGUGAGUGAUGAAGGCCUUAGGGUUGUAAAGCUCUUUCACCGGGGACGAUAAUGACGGUACCCGGAGAAGAAGCCCCGGCUAACUUCGUGCCAGCCGCCGCAGUAAGAC
rnacentral:rRNA from 1 species